rnacentral:rRNA from 1 species
AGAGAGAGACAUGCGUGCAUAUCAAUAAGCGGAGGAAAAGAAACUAACUAGGAUUCCCUCAGUAACGGCGAGUGAAGCGGGAAGAGCUCAAAUUUGAAAUCUUCAAGGUUCUACCUUGACGAAUUGUAGUUUAAAGAAGUGUUUUCUGUUGGAGUUUUGGUAAAAGUUCUUUGGAAUAGGACAUCAUAGAGGGUGAGAAUCCCGUAUUUGACCAUUAUUUCCAGCUUUGUGAUACACUUUCAAAGAGUCGGAUUGUUUGGGAAUGCAGUCCAAAAUGGGUGGUAAAUUUCAUCUAAAGCUAAAUAUUGGCGAGAGACCGAUAGCGAACAAGUACCGUGAGGGAAAGAUGAAAAGAACUUUGAAAAGAGAGUUAAACAGUACGUGAAAUUGUCAAAAGGGAAGCGUUUGACACCAGUGUUGUUUUCUCGAAAAUCAAUUAAAAAAGGCAGGAUUUUGUGUUGUAUUGACUUUAUCAGCUUUCUGCACUCUUUUCUUGUCUUUCUUUAAUGCACUUUUCAGUUAACAAGUCAACAUCAAUUUCUUUUGCUGUAAAAAAGCUUGAGGAAGGUGGCUUGAGAUUCGUCUUAAGUGUUUAUAGCCUCUUGCCUAUGCAGUCGGAGAGAUUGAGGUCUGCAGCGUAGAUCCUUCGGGGCUAAAUGCAUUUGUGCUAAGUUAUAGCAUUUUAUAGACAACUUGUUGACUAUGAUUUGUCUUGUAGCUUACUCGCUUAUGCUAUUUUACCUACGCUUAGGAUGUUGAUGUGAUACUGCGAGCA